rnacentral:rRNA from 1 species
UAGGGAAUAUUAGAAAUGGACGAAAGUCUGAUCUAGCAACACCGCGUGUGCGAAGAAGGCCUUCGGGUCGUAAAGCACUUUUUGGAAGGAAUAGGAAGGAAUGUACUUCCAGAAUAAGUCUCGGCUAACUACGUGCCAGCAGCCGCGGUAACACGUAGGAGGCAAACGUUAUCCGGAUUCACUGGGCGUAAAGCGCGUGUAGGUGGUACUGUAAGUAGGGCGUGAAAGCUCCUGGCUCAACUGGGAGAGGCCGUUCUAAACUACAGAACUAGAGGAUGGUAGAGGGAGGUGGAAUUCCAGGUGUAGCGGUGGAAUGCGCAGAUAUCUGGAGGAACACCGGUGGCGAAGGCGGCCUCCUGGGCCAUUCCUGACACUCAGACGCGAAAGCUAGGGUAGCAUACG